rnacentral:rRNA from 1 species
GUCGGAUGUGAAAGCCCCGGGCUUAACCUGGGAAUUGCAUUCGAUACUGCUCGGCUAGAGUUUGGUAGAGGGAAGCGGAAUUUCCGGUGUAGCGGUGAAAUGCGUAGAUAUCGGAAGGAACACCAGUGGCGAAGGCGGCUUCCUGGACCAAAACUGACGCUGAGGUGCGAAAGCGUGGGUAGCAAACAGGAUUAGAUACCCUGGUAGUCCACGCCCUAAACGAUGAGAACUAGACGUUGGGGGUAUUUAGACCCUUUGUGUCGCAGCAAACGCGUUAAGUUCUCCGCCUGGGGAGUACGGCCGCAAGGUUGAAACUCAAAGUAAUUGACGGGGGCCUGCACAAGCGGUGGAGCACGUGGUUUAAUUCGAUGCAACGCGAAGAACCUUACCAGGGCUUGACAUGUCCGGAACCCCAGGGAAACUUGGGGGUGCCUUCGGGAGCCGGAACACAGGUGGUGCAUGGCUGUCGUCAGCUCGUGUCGUGAGAUGUUGGGUUAAGUCCCGCAACGAGCGCAACCCUCGUUCUUAGUUGCCAGCAUUAAGUUGGGCACUUUAGGGAGACUGCCGGUGACAAACCGGAGGAAGGUGGGGAUGACGUCAAGUCAGCAUGCCCCUUACGCUCUGGGCAACACACGUACUACAAUGGUAGGGACAAAGGGCAGCGAGCCUGCGAAGGUCAGCUAAUCCCAUAAACCCUGCCUCAGUUCAGAUCGCAGGCUGCAACUCGCCUGCGUGAAG